rnacentral:misc_RNA from 1 species
AACGCACAUUGUGCCUCUUGUAACAGGGAGGCAUGCCUGUCUGAGUCUCAUUUAAUCUCUAAACCCAUAUGGGUUUGUGUAUGGGCGCUCGCCCCUUGGGCGCCGCCUCAAAGUCAUCUGUCUUAUGAGCGGAUGGGAUCCUUUUGGACUGACCGUUUGUGGGACCCAAAAUCUCUGAUUUGAGCUCAGAUCAGGUAGGACUACCGCCUGAACUUAA